rnacentral:rRNA from 1 species
UACAGAGGAGCCAAGCGUUGUCCGGAUUGACUGGGCGUAAAGCGCACGCAGGCGGAUGCGCGCGUGGGGUGUGAAAUCUGGCCGCUUAACGGCCAGGCGCCAUCCCAUACGGCGCGUCUGGAGGGCUGCAGAGGUCGAUGGAAUUGCCGGUGUAGUGGUGAAAUGCGUAGAGAUCGGCAGGAGCACCCAGGGGGAAACCAGUCGACUGGGCAGCACCUGACGCUGAGGUGCGAGAGCGUGGGGAGCGAACAGG